rnacentral:rRNA from 1 species
AGCGAACGCUGGCGGCAGGCCUAACACAUACAAGUCGAACGAACUCUUCGGAGUUAGUGGCGGACGGGUGAGUAACACGUGGGAACGUGCCUUUAGGUUCGGAAUAACUCAGGGAAACUUGUGCUAAUACCGAAUGUGCCCUUCGGGGGGAAGAUUUAUCGCCUUUAGAGCGGCCCGCGUCUGAUUAGCUAGUUGGUGAGGUAACGGCUCACCAAGGCGACGAUCAGUAGCUGGUCUGAGAGGAUGACCAGCCACACUGGGACUGAGACACGGCCCAGACUCCUACGGGAGGCAGCAGUGGGGAAUCUUGCGCAAUGGGCGAAAGCCUGACGCAGCCAUGCCGCGUGAAUGAUGAAGGUCUUAGGAUUGUAAAAUUCUUUCACCGGGGACGAUAAUGACGGUACCCGGAGAAGAAGCCCCGGCUAACUUCGUGCCAGCCGCCGCAGUAAAAC